rnacentral:rRNA from 1 species
GAUGAACGCUGGCGGCGUGCUAAUACAUGCAAGUCGAGCGAACGGAUGAGAAGCUUGCUUCUCUGAUGUUAGCGGCGGACGGGUGAGUAACACGUGGAUAACCUACCUAUAAGACUGGGAUAACUUCGGGAAACCGGAGCUAAUACCGGAUAAUAUUUUGAACCGCAUGGUUCAAAAGUGAAAGACGGUCUUGCUGUCACUUAUAGAUGGAUCCGCGCUGCAUUAGCUAGUUGGUAAGGUAACGGCUUACCAAGGCAACGAUGCAUAGCCGACCUGAGAGGGUGAUCGGCCACACUGGAACUGAGACACGGUCCAGACUCCUACGGGAGGCAGCAGUAGGGAAUCUUCCGCAAUGGGCGAAAGCCUGACGGAGCAACGCCGCGUGAGUGAUGAAGGUCUUCGGAUCGUAAAACUCUGUUAUUAGGGAAGAACAUAUGUGUAAGUAACUGUGCACAUCUUGACGGUACCUAAUCAGAAAGCCACGGCUAACUACGUG